rnacentral:rRNA from 1 species
UGGGGAAUUUUGCGCAAUGGGCUAACGCCUGACGCAGCAACGCCGCGUGGAGGAUGAAGGUCCUUGGAUUGUAAACUCCUGUCAGCAGGGAAAAAGGGACUCGACCUCAUACGUCGGGAACUUGAUUGUACCUGCAGAGGAAGCCCCGGCUAACUCUGUGCCAGCAGCCGCGGUAAUACAGAGGGGGCAAGCGUUAUUCGGAAUUAUUGGGCGUAAAGGGCGCGUAGGCGGCCUAGCAAGCGACGGGUGAAAUCCCUCGGCUUAACCGAGGAACUGCCUGUCGAACUGCAUGGCUUGAGACCGGGAGAGGUGAGUGGAAUUCCCAGUGUAGCGGUGAAAUGCGUAGAUAUUGGGAGGAACACCAGUGGCGAAGGCGGCUCACUGGACCGGUACUGACGCUGAUGCGCGAAAGCGUGGGGAGCAAACAGG